rnacentral:rRNA from 1 species
GGCUAACCUAACCUUAGGUCAAGGAUAACCUCGGGAAACUGAGGAUAAGACUUGAUAGGGAAUGAAUCCUGGAACGGAUUGUUCCAAAAACUCGCGCCUAAGGAUGGGGCUGCGGCUGAUUAGCUAGUUGUUGGUGUAAAGGACUAACAAGGCGAUGAUCAGUAAGGGCUCUUAACGGAGAGGCCCUGAGAAGGAAUCUUAGACACUAUUCCUAGCUCUACGGGGUGCAGCAGCCAAGGAAUUUUUUCAAUGCACGCAAGUGUGAACGAGUGAGCCAGAGUGUUACCUUCAUGGUAACUUUUCUUUGCUGUAAAAAGGCAAAGGAAUAAGGACUGGGCAAGACCGGUGCCAGCCGCCGCGGUAAUCCCGGCGGUCCAAGCCGCAUCCACAUUUAUUAGGUCUAAAACAUCCGUAGCUUGUUCUACAAGUCUCUUGUGAAAUCAGACAUCUCAAGUGUUUGGCGUGCAAGAGAUACUGUAGGGCUUAAUCGAGACCGGAAGACGUAAAGAGUACGAUCAAGGUAAUGGUAAAAUAUAU